GAUGAACGCUGGCGGCGUGCCUAAUACAUGCAAGUCGAGCGAACAGACGAGGAGCUUGCUCCUCUGACGUUAGCGGCGGACGGGUGAGUAACACGUGGAUAACCUACCUAUAAGACUGGGAUAACUUCGGGAAACCGGAGCUAAUACCGGAUAAUAUAUUGAACCGCAUGGUUCAAUAGUGAAAGACGGUUUUGCUGUCACUUAUAGAUGGAUCCGCGCCGCAUUAGCUAGUUGGUAAGGUAACGGCUUACCAAGGCAACGAUGCGUAGCCGACCUGAGAGGGUGAUCGCCCCCCCGGGACCUAAGACACGGUCCAACUCCUUAGGGGGGGCAGCAUUGGGAAAUCUUCGCAAUGGGCGAAAGCCUGACGGAGCAACGCCGCGUGAGUGAUGAAGGUCUUCGGAUCGUAAAACUCUGUUAUUAGGGAAGAACAAAUGUGUAAGUAACUAUGCACGUCUUGACGGUACCUAAUCAGAAAGCCACGGCUAACUACGUG
rnacentral:rRNA from 1 species